UUUGGCCCAUAAUCCCUAACUAAAUGAAAGUCAUCGAGACUCUUCUCUUUCUUCUCCGUCUUCGAUAUUCUCUAAGCUUCGACGUUUCCUCUUCUUGAAACGAUCGUCGAUUAACUCCAUCUUCUACAAUCAAUCCUUCUGAAUCUCAUUUAUGGCUUUGUUUCGCCUUUCUCCAUCUAAGUGUAUUUAUACCUUUUUUGUUUACCCCAUCUUCUGAAGCGCUGUACUUCAUUAGAGAGACUGAGAUGCGGACGCAUGUGUGACGAUUCCGUUGGUUGGGUUUCGAUCAGUCCUUUCACCUUCUUUCCAUCCAUCGCAGUAAACGAGAUAGUAAACAUCGUUUGUUUAUGACGAGGUAUGAGUUACCCAAUGGUUUUACAACAAGUGAACAUACUCAAUGCUUGGAAAUCUGGUGAAAAUGGAUGCUCUGAUGUUACAACAAGAGAGAACCGGCAGAUCCGUGGUGUUGUGUUGUGUGAUGUGUCUGAGAUACCGUAAGGUCUUGGUUCUCAACACAUAAGAAAGGCGGCGAACUCAUGGCCUAAGUGUUUCAUGGGUGUCAACAUGCUCCUCAGAGCUUUUGUGAACUGGGAAAACAUUGAUUCGUGAAUAAGAGUUGCAGAGCCAUCCUUGAGCUUGGUAUAUCUCAGCCAGCUCUGGACAUUCCUGAACUGUUAUGGAAGACAUACAUAGGACACGGGUUUAUAUGAGAGACUCUUGGACCGCACAAAGCACUAGAAGGUGUGGGUUAGUUUUGCAAAAUUUGAAGCUUCUGCUGCAGAACAAGAAGAAGACUAAGAAGAGGAAGAAUAAGAAGAAACAGAUGCUAUUGAACGCAAGAAAGAGUGCAUCAGACAUGCCAGAGGGAGAUUUUCGAGAGAGUCAACAGCUACUACAAAGACUCUGCAGCAGAGUUGAAAGAAGAAAGAGCUUCACUAUUGGAGGAUUGGCUUAACAUGGAGACAAACUUUGGUAAUCUCGGGGAUGUGAGUGUGGUACAAUCUUAGCUCCCGAAGAAGCUCAAGAAGAGAAAACGAAUCACCAGAGAAGAUGGCUCUAUAGAUACCUCCAGGAUCUUCACGAGAAGCAUGAGAGCUGGAUCCUCCCAUUUGAGGGUGGGAACCAUGGCAUACUGUCUGUUAGCGGACCGUCUUUACAGAUGGAUAACACUCUGCAUCCUGACAUCAAAGACUGUGUCUUUUACUUAGAAGGAAACCAUAUGCAUUCCAGCAUACAUAAGAUAACGUUGUCUCAUUUCUAUUUGUGCUAAAUGUAUGAAAGAUAGGUCUAGCUUUAAGACUGGUUCAUUGGUUUUAACAGGUCCCUGCUUUGGUUUCAGACUGUCAACCAAAUAUUGACUGCAGCAGACAUAUUGAAGCAUACAGUCAGUAAGUUCUUAUGACUGUUACUGUCACCACAAUAGAUCCCUAAACAUAGCUGAUGUUUUCUUGAUUGGUGUUGAUGAAGGUAUAUGCACACCAGGUUGCUGAAAUCUUUUACUUUUUUCAAACUUUUAAUUAUGCAGUUGUGAAGCAUCUUGGUAACGUUUUAUACUUUGUUGUUUAGGUUAGUCUUCCCCUGUUAUAUGUGUCGAGUCUACUGCUUGAUAGCUGCUUAGUUCAUUGUUGUGUUUUAUUUUUCUGAUGAGUUGCAACUGUUUACUUAUUAUUCCCCCAACAGAGAUGUAACUGUCUACUUAUUUUUGUGGGACGAGGCUGCGUCAAUCUUGAGGGGUCUCUUGAAAGCAGGGGAUAAACACAGUCUGUGAUGUUGGUGCCAUGGUUAAUCCAAAACUAUUUGGAGUGAACCUGUACUUAAACUCCACACUAGGGACUAGGUUCUUUUUCGACACCAACCUCCCUGAAAUAACAGAGUUUGUCAGCAGUUAAGAACAGAAUACUCUAGUAACAGAGAUUCUCCGCAUUGUGAUGCUACCAUACAUACUAUAUGCAGGGUGGGAGGUGCAUCAUCCCAAGUUUUCCUAAUGUCGACACUCUCGAAAGGAGUAAGAGAGGAAGGUUAAGUGAAUUUACAGAUCUUUUUUUAGCAAUAAUAAUGUUUAAAUAGGUCUCAAUUUUUAAAUGUAAAUUUGUUCUCUCUUUUUGAGGUGCCAAGUACCAAUCUGCUGAUUCUGGAACGCCUGUAAUUUUAGAAUACUUUGCUUAUCUCCCUCUACUGUCACAGUUGGUUCUUCUCCCUA